CUCCAAGGCAAUGAACACAGCUCUAGAUAAGAAGAUGAUCCAGCUGACUCAUCGCAGCCAGAGGCCCACAGCACCACCUCCGCCCCCACCACCGCCUAGGAAGAAAGUAGUCUCUCCUGCAGCCAUGCCAGUCAAGCAAGCCUCACCCAACACCAAACACCAACACCCAACACCAGUCUCACCCAACACCAAGCUGGCAUCACCCACCAAGCCUGCCCUCCCAGAGGAGGAACCCAAGAGUCCUCAGACUGAUGUGCCUGUCCCUGUAUCCCCUCCCAUCUCUCCUUCAACACCUAGCAGACCCGUUACCUCUCCCUCUGUCCUUGUCUCUCCUACCAAGCCUAACGUCUCUAUCUAUCCUACCUCCACUACCAGGCCCAACAACUCUCCCUCUCCUUCCUCUCCUACUAAACCUGUUAUCUCUCCUUCUCCUUCCUCACCUACCAAACAUGAUAUCUGUCCCUCUUCAACUACCAAACCUGUUAUCUCUCCCUCUUCACCUACCAAACCUGUUAUCGCGCCCUCUCCUUCCUCUUCCUCUCCCUCUUCACCUACCAAACCUGUUAUCUCUCCCUCUUCACCUACCAAACCUGUUAUCGCUCCCUCUCCUUCCUCUUCCUCUCCCUCUCCCAAACCUGUUAUCUCUCCCUCUUCACCUACCAAACCUGUUAUCUCUCCCUCUUCACCUACCAAACCUGUUAUCUCUCCCUCUUCACUCACCAAACAGCCUUUAUCUCUCCCUCUCCUUCCUCUCCCUCUUCACUACCAAACUCCAAAUGUCCCCUUCUUUCCUCUCCAACCAAGCUCCAUGUCUGUGCCUUCCCUGGGGCCCUCUCUAUGCAGUUACUUGCCCCUCUGCCUCAUCCCCUUCCAAACGCAAAGCCUCCCCUCUCCUCCUGCCCCUCUCUCUCCCUCUCCUCCCUCUCUUUUUACCUGCCCCUCUCCCUCUGACCUCUGUCUCCCUCUGCCUUUCCCAGCUCUCCCUCACCCCUGACCUGCUCCUCUCCCUCCUCUCAUCACCCCUGGUGGGCCUUGACGUUGAAGCUGCUGCUACUGCCAGAGAGCUGUGAGAAAGAAUGAUGGAUGAGAAGACUGGCUGCUGGACCAUGGUCUAAUUUGUACCUUUCCAGCCCCCUUACCUCCACGCGCCGUAUCCCCAGACCUAUGAUUCGCAUGUAGGGGGCUAGAUACAGAUAGAACCUCCAUCCCCAGUAACAGUAUAACAGCUGAUGUCCACUGCUGUAUCGUUCCUAGGCUCCCAAGCAGCAAAUGGCAAAAAAAAACAAGCAAAAUGGCUCCUACAACCUACAGUACAAUCUCUGUAGAGAACCCAUCAUAUCCACGCUCCAAGAGGGAAGUUAAGGUGUUUUGUACAUUUUGGUUGAUUUUGUAUAUAUGGUAUGUGUGUAUUUAUAUAUGGAGAAAAUAGAGCGAGGCCUGCCUAGUUAGUGUGUGUGGUUUCAGAGGGGGUUUUAUUUAUUGUCUGUGGUUGGUUGGUAGAAACACACAUGAUGAUUAUGGGUAGAAGUGUAUUAUUUGGCGUGCUUGUUGUCUGUUGUAAGAUAAACUGCUACUGUAGAUGUGUAUAGUAUUGUAUGACAGACACGAGGCAUCCGAAUGAAAGUUGAAGGUUUGAGUUUGUUUUCUUCUCUUCUCUGUAAAGCCUGUUUAUCAUUGGUCUGCUAUGGAGCCUGUAGUGUUUAACUGCUGAACACCAAAAGAGAGAUGCAACAGAGUAGAAGAUGAACGUGUCAAUGAGGAGAGGUGUUCCUGUCAAAAUAGCUGCCAGAUCAGGGGUGUGUUCAGGGCGGCAGGUAGCCUAGCGUUUAAGAGCGUUUGGCCAGUAACCGAAAGGGCACUGGUUCGAAUCCCCCAGCCAACUAGGUGACAAAUCUGCCAAUGUGCUCUUGAGCAAGUCACUUAACCCUAAUUAAUCCUCUAAGUCGCUCUGGAUAGGAGCGUCUGCUAGAUGACUAAAAUGUAAAUGUUCAUCAGAAAGGGACUUCCUGGACAUGUCCUGUAAGAAACGCUCAUUUUCACCCUCCGUUGCAAAACGUUUUUCAUUGUGUGCCCUAAUGAACCUGACCCAGUAGUUAGAUUCCUUUUCUGAAACCAGCUGACAGGAAACACUGGGAGCUCUAUCCCCUCAUAUACUCAUUUAUCAGUCCAGAUUUACCGGAUAAUAACAUGAGGCUGUUCCACUUUGCUGUUGUCUUUGUCUGUAAUGGUAAUGCACUUGUUUUAAAGUCCAUGUUUAAGUCCCAAAUCGCACCCUAUUCCCUAUAUAGUGCACUACUUUUGAGCAGGGCCCACAGGGUUGGGGAAUAGGGUACCAUUUGGGAUGCGGCCUGUAUCUCUUUACCUAGCCUACUGCAUGCAGUUGGUUAGAGUUUAACCCUUCAGAUAUUGAUAAUGGCUCCGAUGCACAGCACUACUACUCCAAGGGGCUUUAGUUGCAUGCCAUGUUCCUCCCUCUGCCUCCCCACAAAACAGGUCUCACACACACGUCAAGCUGGUACUAUUGUACGUAUAGUAGCUGUUCUGUUGUGUAAUGUUUAGUCAAACUACACUGUCAUCAUCAUAAUGCUUUUUUUAUUGCAGUUUUAGUCUGGAUACGUGUAUGAAAAUUACAUUUCAAGCAGGAAAAACACUCCUGUCAGCUUUGGCCAACAGUUUGUUUGUGCAUUUUGCCACUGUGACUCCCUUUAUCAUAUCAUAAUAUGUAUUAGCAGCACAUCGGAGAACUUCAAACGCAAUAAAAAGUAUUCAAAUCAGUGUUUAAAAAAAGUUUUUAUUUCUUUGGCACUGUUUUUGAUUGUGUGAAAACUCCUAUGUUGAUAAAGGUAGAAAUCAGAUAUUAUAAGCCACUCACAAUGAGGUAAAGUGACCAUCAGCUCCAUCCUGUGGACAAUAUCUGAAGCAACAACAUGGCCUAAUUCCAACCAUUAGCCAAUGAAAACAACUAUUUGAUGACGUGUUUUGCUCCAGACCUAUCCUGAUGAAUCAGAUCUACUGAGCCAAUCACCAGGAUAGAAACAGUUACCAGAUCUAGCUCUAACAUUGAGCCUAUGGGGAAACAAGCUAGGGACCAACAGACUCCCAUAACCCCCUGCUCUGCAAGUCACAGUGAUGGCAGCACCUGCACUGUGUUGGGGGCUUUGCCACAUGGAGAGCAGCAAGCAGGUCCUGGUGAAGACUCCAACCGUCAUCUCUUAAAGGGAAGUUUGCACAAUAUAUUGAUAUUCCAUCUAAACAGUCUUUAUAUACUUCUAGUUUUGCAAUUUGAAUAAACCUAAG
rnacentral:lncRNA from 1 species